rnacentral:piRNA from 1 species
GCAGAUCUGACUGUAGACUGAGAAUGC